rnacentral:rRNA from 1 species
UACAGAGGUCUCAAGCGUUGUUCGGAUUCAUUGAGCGUAAAGGGUGUGUAGGUGGCGCCGUAAGUCGGGUGUGAAAUUUCGGAGCUUAACUCCGAAACUGCAUUCGAUACUGCGGUGCUUGAGGACUGGAGAGGAGACUGGAAUUCAUGGUGUAGCAGUGAAAUGCGUAGAGAUCAUGAGGAAGACCAGUGGCGAAGGCGGGUCUCUGGACAGUUCCUGACACUGAGACACGAAGGCCAGGGGAGCAAACGGG